rnacentral:rRNA from 1 species
UAACCUACGGGGCGCAGCAGAGAGGAAUAUUGGUCAAUGGGCGGAAGCCUGAACCAGCCAAGUCGCGUGAGGGAAUAAGGCCCUACGGGUCAUAAACCUCUUUUGCCGGGGAGCAAGGGCGGGGACGUGUCCCGGCCCGGAGAGUACCCGGAGAAAAAGCAUCGGCUAACUCCGUGCCAGCAGCCGCGGUAAUACGGAGGAUGCGAGCGUUAUCCGGAGUUAUUGGGUUUAAAGGGUGAGUAGGCGGGCUUUUAAGUCAGCGGGAAAAAUUCGGGGCGCAAC